rnacentral:rRNA from 1 species
UAGGGAAUCUUCCACAAUGGACGCAAGUCUGAUGGAGCAACGCCGCGUGAGUGAAGAAGGUUUUCGGAUCGUAAAGCUCUGUUGUUGGUGAAGAAGGAUAGAGGUAGUAACUGGCCUUUAUUUGACGGUAAUCAACCAGAAAGUCACGGCUAACUACGUGCCAGCAGCCGCGGUAAUACGUAGGUGGCAAGCGUUGUCCGGAUUUAUUGGGCGUAAAGCGAGCGCAGGCGGAAGAAUAAGUCUGAUGUGAAAGCCCUCGGCUUAACCGAGGAACUGCAUCGGAAACUGUUUUUCUUGAGUGCAGAAGAGGAGAGUGGUAUUCCAUGUGUAGCGGUGGAAUGCGUAGAUAUAUGGAAGAACACCAGUGGCGAAGGCGACUCUCUGGUCUGCAACUGACGCUGAGGCUCGAAAGCAUGGGUAGCGAACAGG